rnacentral:rRNA from 1 species
CCCUUAGAUGUUUGGGGCCGCACGCGCGCUACACUGAAGGACUCAACGUGUGUUUGUCCUGGCUCGGGAGGGCUGGGUAACCCGUUGAACCUCCUUCGUGCUAGGGAUUGGGGCUUGUAAUUCUUCCCCAUGAACGAGGAAUUCCCAGUAAGCGCGAGUCAUCAGCUCGCAUUGAUUACGUCCCUGCCCUUUGUACACACCGCCCGUCGCACCUACCGAUUGAAUGGUUCGGUGAAGAUUUCGGACUAUAGUAUUUAUCCUUCAUUGGAUUUGUAUUGUGGGAAGUUAUCUAAACCUCAUCAUUUAGAGGAAGGUGAAGUCGUAACA